AUGGCGAGUCUGAUUGCAUUUGCUGAUAGCGGCUUAGGAGGCUUAGCUUUGAUCUUGACUUUCCCCCGGUUAGCCGAUUUCUGGCGGGGCGCUGCGGGGAGGUGUUACGAGAGAUUUAUUAACAAGAUAAAGCGCAACGCCAGGAAAAGCUGCUCCGGCAAAACGCGCUCCCCCCCUCACGCACGCACAGACAUAAAUCCAGCCCCUGCUCGACUACGCUCAGCAUCUCUCCUCCUCGGGGGACUCGAGCAGACCGGCUCUUCCCCUCUCCGUGUGCUGCUGGAGCUUCACAGGUGCAGGGGGAAGCUGCUGCAGCCCCCCUGCCCAGCUCAUCCGACAAAACCCAACGUGCAUCCAUCUCCCCAGCCAGGCAUCCAGGGCAGAAAAAACUGGGGUAACUCCAUGGCACAGCCUCUCCCAGCCUCAACUUCUCCCAUCUGCUUUUGCAAUCAGCCCCCAGAGCCCAGCUCGCCCCAAGCCCCCUUCCAGGAGCUGGGGGCACGCACACAGCCCUUUAUAGGGGUUACGCUGCUGGCCCCUUGCACAAAAACCAGCCUGGAGAGAGCUGCUGAAGCCAAGUCAUUAAUUUUCAGGUGUUCUUCCUCGAGCUCAGCCCACCAGGCAGCCCGCACGCUCUCCAGAAGCGGACUUGUGGUCUCAAUGCUCCCAUGGUGCGGGGGGAAAGCUGGGACAGGCUUUAAGUCACUUGCCCAAGACCAGCCAAGGAGCAAGGAUUGGAGGCACGGAGCUCAAAGCUGUGUCUCUUUUGUGCCAUGCACCCUCUGCUCCAGGAGCAGGACUCGCUGGCACUGCGGGGGGACAAUCCCAAACCCCCUCGCAGACCCCACACCAGCAGCCACGGCCACCAGCGUCCUCCAGAGGAAGGGGCCCUCUCAGCAGCUCACAGCACGAGAAGCAGCAGCUCUAAAAGCAACCGACAGCUGCCGCAUAUUUAAUCUCACGCUUGGCUACAAGCUGCAGAAAUUGGCUUUCCUGUGCAACAGCAGCUGUCACCGUGCCAGCCACACCGGAGUGCCCGCAGCAUCCCCAAACCUGCAGCCAGGGCGAUCUGCUCAGCCUGACAAACCCCUCGGUUUGCUGCCUUCCAGCAGCCCGCUUGCUCUCUGA
rnacentral:lncRNA from 1 species